AGGAACUCCAGCAGCGCUCGCGUGCCGCCCUUCUUCACUCCCACGAUGAGUGCCUGCGGGAAGCGCCGGCGGCCGGGGCCGCUGGCCAAGCCUAUCCCACUCGGAUGACUCAGGAAGGGGCAUGAGGCCUCCACUGCCCACCUUGGCAUAGGUCCCUUCAUGAAGCCCGGCAGGUUGGUCUCCCCCCGCCCCCAGCGGGCUCGCACCCACGGACGCAAGCAAGCCUCAGCCAGAGACCUGGACGCUGGAGGAGCUGGCUCCAGGCUGGGCGAGAAGCUGCGGUGUAACCCAACAGAAGGAGGAAAUGGUGUGAGGAUAAUUUAUUCCAUAUGAGACUUUAAAGCUGGAAACGCCAUCCCCUCUUCCAGCUGCCUGGCAGAUGAACCUUUCCCACAGCCAUCCAUUUCCCGGCUCCCUGGGCCUCAUGUGGUCUCCCAUACCCUCUGAGGACAUUGCUUACCAGCCCCCACUGGACCUCCCUAUCUAAACACCCCACUCUACACCCUCCCUGGCUCCUUAACAUGGAUGUGUAAAUGAGCAUGGGGCAACUGGGGUACUGGCCACGCUUCCCACUAGGCUCAUCAUCCAGGUUCCAGUGACUCCUACUGCAUUUAGUUCUCCCAAUCCAAGGGCUCUGGGUCCCACUAAAGUAGAGCAACUAUGGAGCUCUUCAAGGAUGCCGGGGGUCCCCUCAUAAACAUUUCUCACGUGCCUCAAAGUGUGUUUUGAGAUAUGUCUUCUGGGCCCUUCCAAGCAGGUUUUGAUGUUUUUGUUUUUGUUUUGUUUUUUUGUUCUCUGAGACAGCAACAGGAUCUCACUAAGUUGCUAAACUGCCCAGGCUGGGCUCAAAUUUGGAAACUUCCUGCUUCCACAUCCCAGAGUGCUGGGACUACAGAGAUGUACCACUAAGCCUGGCUACCAGGCAGGUCAUGGAUGACACAUCUACCCUAACUUUACACUCUCCCUAGGCCUCUGACUCCCACUCACUACACUAAACCGAGGCAGAUCUGACAUUUCAGCUGCAUGUUGUGUAGGCUGCUUGUCAGUCUAUGCUUUAGCCAACCAACAGAACUGUUAAGAGCUCUUUCUAACCCUGGAGCUGAAACACUGAAUCUACAAUCUCUGCUUAGUGGUCCUGUAUCAAUAAAUUCAGCCUCAGCCAAGUUUAUGUUGCUUCCCCCACCAUCCCAUACCAAUAUCCAUUUUCAUGCAUACUAUCCAGACUUCUGUCCAUAUCAAUUGGAAAAAAAUCAUAGUUUUUAUAUAGAGUAUAGCACAUCUCCUCAUGAGUCACUUUGUACCUCACUCUUCAGGGCCUGGAGCAGGCCAAAUUUGCUGAGGUCUCAGGGCCUUUGCAUGUGCUGUGUCCACUGCAUGCAUGGCAAGUUCCUCCUCAAUUUUCUCACCUGUCACUGCUGAGCUGAGAUGACCCCUCCCUCCAUAGAACCCUCCUCUCUGACUACUUGCAGGCCAAGGACCGCCCCCUAGUCACCCUCUUCUACAUGUUCUCGCGCCAUUACCCUGAUAGUUGUUCAACGCCCUUAUCAUCAUCUGAUAUUAACUUACUAUGUCUGUGUCCCCAGGGUGGCCAUGAGACCUUGGAGGACUUACAACUGUAUCCUCAGUACCAAGUCCAGAACUGGGCAGCAAAUAUUUGCAAAGCAAAUGAAAAACACUGCACAAAGUCCUGACAUUCAUGUCCUCACAUCCCUGAUGUUAAUAAAGGUAGUGGACUGGUUCUAGGGGUGCAGC